rnacentral:rRNA from 1 species
GACGAACGCUGGCGGCGUGCUUAACACAUGCAAGUCGAACGGUGAAGCCCUUCGGGGUGGGUAAGUGGCAAAAGCGUGCGUAACACGUGCGCAACCUGCCCCUGGCUCUGGGACAACCAAUGGAAACGGUGGCUAAUACCGGAUACGACCCGCCGCGGCAUCGAGAGUGGGUGGAGAGUUGUUCGGCUGGGGAUGGGCUCGCGGCCUAUCAGCUUGUUGGUGAGGUGAAGGCUCACCAAGGCGACGACGGGUAGCCGGCCUGAGAGGGCGACCGGCCACACUGGGACUGAGAAACGGCCCAGACUCCUACGGGAGGCAGCAGUGGGGAAUAUUGCACAAUGGGCGAAAGCCUGAUGCAGCGACGCCGCGUGAGGGAUGACGGCCUUCGGGUUGUAAACCGCUCUCAGCUCUGAAGAAGCGAAAGUGACGGUAGGAGCAGAAGAAGCACCGGCUAACUACGUG